GUGCUUGCUUCAGUAGCACAUAUACUAAGAUAUAACUGAUACAGUGAAGUUUAGCAAGGCCCCACGCAGAAAGAUGGCAUACAAAUUCAUUAAGUCUUCCAUAUUUUU